GAGGGUAGAGCUCCAUGGCAGAGUGUGUGCUUAGCAUGCGUGAGGUCCUGGGUUCAAUCCCCAGUACUUCCA
rnacentral:tRNA from 1 species